ACGCGCACGCCUUAGGGUUAGCAUCCUUAGUGCAGGUUCUUCUUGUUAUACCCCCAGCUAAGCGUAUGCCUGAGAGUUAGCAUCCUUAGUGCAGGUUCUUCUUGUUAUACCCCCAGCUACACACACGCCUGAGAGUUAGCAUCCUUAGUGCAGGUUCUUCUUGUUAUACCCCCAGCUACGCGCACGCCUGAGAGUUAGCAUCCUUAGUGCAGGUUCUUCUUGUUAUACCCCCAGCUACGCGCACGCCUGAGAGUUAGCAUCCUUAGUGCAGGUUCUUCUUGUUAUACCCCCAGCUACGCGCACGCCUCAGAGUUAGCAUCCUUAGUGCAGGUUCUUCUUGUUAUACCCCCAGCUACGCGCACGCCUCAGAGUUAGCAUCCUUAGUGCAGGUUCUUCUUCUUAUACCCCCAGCUACACACACGCCUGAGAGUUAGCAUCCUUAGUGCAGGUUCUUCUUGUUAUACCCCCAGCUACACACACGCCUGAGAGUUAGCAUCCUUAGUGCAGGUUCUUCUUCUUAUACCCCCAGCUACACACACGCCUGAGAGUUAGCAUCCUUAGUGCAGGUUCUUUGCAUGAACCCCCAGCUACCGGCAUUCCUGAAUGUUAGUGUCUUUAGCACCCGGGAGAUUCUCAGCCCCGCUGACAUUUGCGACCGCAGACUAAGCAGGUCGAUGCAGCUGCUGAUUGACAGGCAGCAGCACGGACAGGCCGCCGCCCAGUCAUUCCUGUUUGUGUGUAUGAAGGCACAGCACCUGUUAGCCUGGCAGCCUGCAGGAGUGUGUGGCAGCUACAGCAAGUCAGUCUGCUCCUCCUCUGCUAGACUCUGCUCUGUUUCCUGCCUCUGACUCCAUCUGUUUUUCUUUCUUACCCUGUCCUUCCCUCCCUCUCUCCCUCUGUUUUCCCAGCCGGUCCUCCUCCCUCCCUCCCAUCAUUUUCUCAGCUUGCCCACCUGUCUCUCUCCUCUCACUCUGCCCUUGCUCUCUAUCCCCUUCCUCUGUUUGGCGCUGGGGACUGAGAGACCCCUCUGGGGGCACCAGUGUACCCCGGGCUUCUGUCGCCCCCCCACCUCCUCCUCCAGCUCCGCAUCUCCUGCUGCAGGACGCCCCCCCCCCUUAGGUAACAUACAGCAGCCUUUCUAAAAAUGUAACAUUAUCUUGUCACCUGUGUGCAUGUUUGUUUUCAUACAAAUGGGUGGGUGCAGACACCCCACACAGACCUGAAUGGAGCAUCGGCUCAUUGAUGGACCUUUGACCACCAGUUGACCUCUGACCCCCAGAGGUUCUUGCUUCCUCUCCUCCGUUGUCAUCUAGCUUCCCUUCUUUCAUUGCUGUCUCCCCUUUUGCCUAUUUUGUAUCAUUCUCUCUUAAUGACGCUGUAAUGUAUAACGGCCCCCAUGUGACACCCCUUGGGGCAACUCUGUUGUGAAAGGGGCUAUAUAAAAAUAGACUGAAUGUAAUUAAAUUGAUUAAAUGCAUGCAUUUCCUGCGGGCUGCAGCCUGCAUGCGGCAGAGGGGGCAGCAUGAGGAAGGGCCACGUGAGGCUCGCUAACCCGAGUGUUUGUG